AAAACAAUGACUAAGUCAUUUUACAGCCAACACCCUUUAAAAAACCAGCUCGACCAGCCAAAGAGGAUGUUGUAUUAUGCCAAAGGGGAAAGAACAACUCACAGAGGAAAGUAUCAGCUUGGUUUUCUGAUAAGCAUAUAUUACAACGCAAGGAACAGAAAGUUCAGGUCUUCAACUUUAACUUUCAACACAACACUAUCUACUUGAAGUGAUGAACUAUACCAGAGAUGGACGACAGAGAAAGAUCCCUUCCGUUCUCAUCGUCCUUACCAUCGAUUUCAUACGCAUAUACCUCCCCGUACAUCAUCCAGUACGGCUGGAACACCACCUCUUUGGCCAGCGUCCAGCUUGGCUCUUCGUCGGGGUAUAGGAUGGCUUGGCGGGGAACGCCGUAGCUGAGCAGGACAACGGCCAUGAUCACCACAAUGUAAAACAUGUUGGCAACCUGUAAGAGACAACAUGCAUUGUUACAUGAAGCACAUGCCAGCAAAGGAAUAUGAAACCAUCCUUAAAGCCAGACCUGGGCAAUUAUUUUGACUGGGGCCACAUUGUAACCUGACUCUCACCAGACCCUUGUAGUUGAGCUGAGCUCAACACAAGGGUCUGGGCUCGAGGGCAUUGCAAACACCUUCCAGAUAGCAAAAAAUAAUGAACAAAUCAAGAUCGCCGGUCGGGAUUUCAUAGAUGUGAUGAAGCGCCGACGGGACUGUUUGAUUCAAAAAACAAUGCCGUGUGCUGACAUUUAGUCUGGUAUUACAACUGUUUUGCGACAUCGAUCGAAUAUAAAUUAUUUAAAAAAUAAACAGAAUGGUUUUGAAGGCAUUUAUUGGUGGCAAGGAUGUUUUGGCUCUUCUUCUGACCGGGUUUGGAUUUCCCAGCGCCGCUCUCAUCAGCGUCACGGGUUGAUUUCGAUGUGAGUGUUUGAGGUACCACGUCACUCAAGAUAACAGACAAGUGGAGAUUACCGAUAUUAACUAUCAACGAUAACACACUGAAAAUUAAUAACAAAUGAACUUCGUUCCUCUUUUACUUCUCAGACCACCUCGAUUGACAUCUUUUGCGAUCAAGCAAAACGUAACAAAAAUGCAACAAACACGGCAAAAUAAGAACGCAAAGGGGCUGGCUGCUCUGGGAACAAACCCUGCCCACACAACUUGGUGCCUCGCCUGAGCUGCUGUGAUGAAAUAACUUGUAUAUCAAUUGAAAGCGCAGAUUCUUGGAUGCCUCUGUUCGCGGGUUUUGCAGUCUGGCUAUAAUGUGAUGUCACAACGGGGUGGAUGUAUUUAUAUGGACAUUAAGUCAAGCUCUCAGCCUGUGCACGAAAAAAAAAGGUAGGAAAAAUAAUAAUUUUCAUCUAAUUGUGGCAUAUGCAUAAGAAUACCAAUUUGCAGCAUGGAGUACAACCCUUCCUAGUCAUAGUUUCUGCCGUUUCUUUUCUUUUUCUUCUAUGUCCCACUCUCCCUUGUGGAGGGGGUCCGGUCCGAUGCGGUGGCCAUGUACUGCUUGCCUGUGUAUCGGCUGGGGACAUCUCUGCGCUGCUGAUCCGCCUCCGCUUGGGAUGGUUUCCUGCUGGCUCCGCUGUGAACGGGACUCUCGCUGCUAUGUUGGAUCCGCUUUGGACUGGACUCUCGCGACUGUGUUGGAUCCAUUGUGGAUUGAACUUUCACAGUAUCAUGUUAGACCCGCUCGACAUCCAUUGCUUUCCUCCUCUCUAAGGUUCUCAUAGUCAUUAUUGUCACCGACGUCCCACUAGGUCAUUAUUGUCACCGAUGUCCCACUGGGUGUGAGUUUUCCUUGCCCUUAUGUGGGCCUACCGAGGAUGUCGUGGUGGUUUGUGCAGCCCUUUGAGACACUAGUGAUUUAGGGCUAUAUAGUAAACAUUGAUUGAUUGAUUGAUAGUUCUGCAUUCAGAUUUCUUUUCUCUCCUUUAAACUGUUGCUGUCAUUUUUUUACUUAAAUAUAAAGUGUUUCUUGUUCACAUUUUUAUUUUUAAUUACAAAAAAGUAUACAUUUAUGUUUUGAAAAUUAGCCCUGGUAUGUUAAUUAUGUCUGCAACUUACCAUUUUGGCAAUCAUCAUGACAUAGGGUCCAGCUUGCUGGUUGACGGCCAGGAUAUCGAGGAGUCGCACAUACCAGAAGAUGAUGUUGAGACAGUAAACCGUCCUGCCAGGGAUGAAGGCUUUCCCUCCACCCAGCCUCAGGCCGAAGCCGAUAAAAAAGGAAAUGAUGGCCAGAAAAUCGGAGACGUUGAAGUAGUCAUCAAACCACACUUUUAUCUUCUGACUUAUUUUUCCUGCUUCUGACAUAAACAUCUGCAAACAAGUUGAAAAAUCAUGAAAGGACCUUGCAGAGGAACAAUAGAAGAAUAUCAAACUGCGUACCUCUCGGAUCUUCUCGAUAGCAGAGGUGAAGAUGUAGAGGAUGACCACCCACUCUUGAGGAGAAGGCCAUUCUGGCAUUCUCACCAGGACCACGUAGGAGUAGAGCAUCAAGAAACCCAAAUAAAA